GACGAACGCUGGCGGCGUGCUUAACACAUGCAAGUCGAGCGGUAAGGCCCUUUCGGGGGUACGACGAGCGGCGAACGGGUGAGUAACACGUGGGUGACCUGCCCUCAGCUCUGGGGAUAAGCCUGGGAAACCGGGUCUAAUACCGGAUAUGACUCCAUGACGCAUGUUGUGGGGUGAAAGCCUUGUGCGGCUGAGGAUGGGCCCGCGGCCUAUCAGCUUGUUGUGGGGUGAUGGCCUACCAAGGCGACGACGGGUAGCCGGCCUGAGAGGGCGACCGGCCACACUGGGACUGAGACACGGCCCAGACUCUACGGGAGGCAGCAGUGGGGAAUCUUGCGCAAUGGGCGAAAGCCUGACGCAGCGACGCGCGUGAGGGAUGACG
rnacentral:rRNA from 1 species